rnacentral:lncRNA from 1 species
UGUUUGGACUGGAGAAGGGAGGCGGCGGGCAAAGCGCACGUCGAGCGGGGGAGCGGCGCUGCCUGUGGAGAUCCGCGGAGGCCGACAGGAUUCGUUGGCUACCGUCCCCGCUGCCGUGCACUGGGAGCCUGCCCUGCAUCAUCUUCUUUUUAGAAGUUCAGCUUCCUGUGGACUAGGAAUGGAUCCUGAUUGCUGUUGGCAGUAAUGAUCCAGCAUCUUCUGUAGAAAGUGCUGCGUUAAAAACGACAACGAACACCAACCAUGAAAGAUCCAAGUCGCAGCAGUACUAGCCCAAGCAUCAUCAAUGACGAUGUGAUUAUUAACGGUCAUUCUCAUGAAGAGGAUAAUCCAUUUGCAGAGUACAUGUGGAUGGAAAAUGAAGAGGAAUUCAACAGACAAAUAGAAGAGGAGUUGUGGGAAGAAGAAUUUAUUGAACGCUGUUUCCAAGAAAUGCUGGAAGAGGAAGAAGAACAUGAAUGGUUUAUUCCAGCCCGAGAUCUCCCACAAACUAUGGACCAAAUCCAAGACCAGUUUAAUGACCUUGUUAUCAGUGAUGGCUCUUCUCUGGAAGAUCUUGUGGUGAAGAGCAAUCUGAAUCCCAAUGC